rnacentral:rRNA from 1 species
AUUGAACGCUGGCGGCAGGCCUAACACAUGCAAGUCGAGCGAGCGGCGGACGGGUGAGUAAUGUAUGGGGACUGCCCGAUAGAGGGGGAUAACUAACGGAAACUGAUGCUAAUACCGCAUACUAUCGGAUAACCCAUGUGGGAGUAGUUAGUAGGUGGGGUAAAGGCUCACCUAGGCGACGAUCUCUUGCUGGUCGGCGAGGAUGAUCAGCCACACUGGGACUGAGACACGGCCCAGACUCCUACGGAGGCAGCAGUGGGGAAUAUUGCACAAUGGGCGCAAGCCGAAUGCAGCCAUGCCGCGUGUAUGAAGAAGGCCUUAGGGGUGUAAAGUACUUUCAGCGGGGAGGCGUUACCCGCAGAAGAAGCACCGGCUAACUCCGUGCCAGCAGCCGCGGUAAUUC